ensembl:lncRNA
GGUGAGAUGACUUGUUCAAACAAAUAGUGGAAAUGGUAGAUUUAAAUAUCAUUCAAUGAGCAGACCUUAAUUGCUUACUUAACAUGUGUCUUACAAUUUGGUCCAAUGAAAUCAUUUGGUUAUCUUCUUUUGAAUAGUAUAGAACUUGAAGUUGUAGAAUUCUCUUAACCUCAAAUCAAAACUAAAGCAACUUUAAUUGGAUUAAAAUUGACCAUCUCUGUUUUCCAGGAUUUAUGUGAGAAUGGUUUGGUUAAUUAAUUAAUCAAUUUUAAUUUCAAAAUUUUAAGCCUCUAAGUUUUGGUGAAGGUGGACAUUUGAAACUCAAUAUUUCAUUCAAGAUGUUAUUCUGCCACCAUAGUCUUUAUUAAUGUAUCACUGAGCUUAUAAAAAACAAUAGAGUAAUAGUGAUCAUUUAUUAAGUACCCGUUACUGUGGUUCAGGGUCUGUACUAAAUAUUUUACAUACAAUAAUUUAAUUUAAUCCUCAGUAAUAUUCUAGCUGUCAGUCUCUCCAUUUUUCAAAUGAAAGAAAGAGGAAAUCAGAGAUUAAGCAAUUUACUCCAAAGUCACAAAAGCUUAGAACCCAUGUAUGCCUGACUGCAAAAGCCAUAAUCAUUACCUUUGUGUCGUGUCUUUUACAGUCAAAUAAACCAACAAAUAGGUAAGAUAGUGAAAGAGUAAAACUUUUACAAAUUGAAUAUGUUUCCCCCAAUUAUUUAUUUUUAAUUGAAGAAAACUUGCUUCACAAUACUGUGCUGGCCUCUGCCAUAUAUUAGCAUGAACCAGCCACAGGUAUACAUAUGUUCCCGCCCUUCUCAGUUGUUACAGAGCCCCAGUUUGAGUUCCCUGAGUCAUACAGCAAAUUCCCAUGGUUAUCUAUUUUAUACAUGUGCGUGUGUGUGCGCGCUUAGUUGCUCAGUCGUGUCCGACUCUUGCGACCCCAUCAGUUCCGUCGCUCAGUCGUGUCCGACUCUUUGUGACCCCAUGAAUCGCAGCACACCAGGCCUCCCUGUCCAUCACCAACUCCCGGAGUUCACCCAAACUCAUGUCCAUUGAGCAACCCCAUAGACUGUAAAAAAUUGAACAAUUUUUAUUGUCAUAAAUAAACAUUUUUAAAUUGAACCGUCUUUGUCAUCGUAGCAGCACUGUCACUUCCUGAGAGAAGACUUUCUAUAGUGUGGAAUUCUGUGUUUUGUGGCUCUGGCUAAGCCCUGGUGCAGGGACAAGGAGGGUAGCCAGGAAGGGGUUUCCCCUUUCCUGAUUCCCAAAGUUACCCUCACUCUUGAGUUUCUGCUGAGGGAAGCAGCUUGUCUACCUGUGGGAAGAUUAGAAAACCAACCCCCAGCCUUGGCUCACCAGCAUGGAUGUGUGGGCAGCAGCCAAGCUGAGAAACCCAUCUGGACAUCAGGGCCCCCUGGGGAAAACAUAUCUGGCUCUGUUUGUAUUGGCUUCCAGAGCAGCCUUCUGACUUGAUGUUGUGCUAACUGGGGAUUGUGGGAAAGUCCAUCUGACCAGCGGCUUCCCGCAGGUGGCUUUUGAUUAAGCUGAUGGAGAGGCCUGAGAACCAGCAUGC